UUAUCGCCUUCAUUUAUUUAUCUGGUGCGACUUUGUUACUUUUUGAGCCUGGGUUAUUGUUUUUCUAUUUUGAUUCGUAACUAUUUAUUUGGUCCUAGCGAGUUUGAUUCGGUUCCCUAAAAUACCGCUUCGCCCUUAUCAGUUAAUACAAAGGUGGAAGCCAACAUAGGGUGUAAACUGGAGAAAUUUUCUGGCACGGGAGGACCUCAGUGCCAUUUACUUGAGGGGGGAAAGGGAGACUCCACCUUUUAAACUUCCCAAUAAACUUUUUAAUAGCAAGUGUGUUCUCAUUGUCACGUGUCAGAGGAAAAAAAAAUUAAUGUUCUUUGUAUUUGAUUCCGUAAGAAUGAAAGCCAGCCUACAACCUCUGUCUGCCUUUGUAACUAAGACAUUUUCAAUGAGGAGAAAGUACUUUUCUGACGCUAAGUACUAUAUAAAUGUGAGCAAUGCCAACUAGUUUAAGCAAGUAGUGCUCUCUUCCAGUAUUUUCUGGGAUGGAGUCUUUUAAAUAGACUCAUCUUUUUGGAUAAUUCUAAUUGCUAAUUAUUCUUAACUUUAUUAAGAAUUUGUAAGGUUUCAAGUGCAUAAAGGAGAUUCUGUCUUGCCGUGGAUGGGGGGGAGGCGGGAAUGUGGUCUUGGGGUAAAGAGGAACGGGGAGCAAGACUGUGAUAAUCUCUUUGAGAUCUACCCAAAGAAAUCUUGAUCUAUAGAUUGAGGAUCCCUGCUUUAAAUCAAUCCUGUGUACAGUUUAGGGCAGUUUUUCAUCUGUGAAUAGGAACUGUAUCAAAACCCUAGUGUGACCAUGACAAUUGGGUAAUCACACACAAGGCAUCUUUGCUAAUGGAGAGAUUCUGUAAAUAUGUUUCUAGUGAAUACACAGAUAACAGUCACAGUGGAAGGGUCAGGUGCCACAAAUCAUAGAUUACUCUGCCAAGGGUUGCCAGCCAUCUGAGGCUUGGAAGGACAUUAACCGCCUUUGCAUUCUCCGAAUACUCUCCUCAGUUCAUGAUUUCACUUACUUGACCCUACUUCUGUUAUUUAAAAGCUGGCAGGCACAAUCAAGGGCAAGCAGGUUGGCUACCUACCCUUCUGGCAGCUCGCCAGUAUUCCCAUUUAGCUGCCAGCAGACAAGGAGAAGAGUGAAUCAGUCAUGUAAUCCUACAGUAGCAUCUAGAAGGUAUCAGGAAAACUUCAGUGGCAGCAGGAGGGUCCACCAAUCAGCCCUGUUUCUAAAUUCUCCACUUUGUAUCUGUAAUAAAUCCCUCUGGGGGAAUUCACUAGUGGGAAGCGCAGGGAGGGAAAUGACACAGGGGCUCUCAAGCAGUUUCCUUGAAAAGUAAGUUGUGAGUGCAUUACUUGAUAGUCCCAAUUUUGAAAAUGGCCAUAAAUAGAAAUAGGAUUCUCGUUACUAACAGGAGCAAAAAUCAGGAAAGGCGUCCCUUAGCAGCAGUAGGGGGAAAAAAAUCAAGAGCUUUUAAUAAAAUUUGGAGGAUUAUAAUUUCUUGUCAAUAGAACAAACUUCUGCCUGUUCCCAUUUGCUUUCAUAGAUAAAUUAUUGCUAACUUAAUAAGAUUUAGGCACUCCACUUUCAGAGAAAUUAUAUAAAUUUGAGAUUAUAUAAAAAUAGCUUUUUCUUACCUCAAAGUGAAACAAGUAGGUAUUUGGCAUACAGGGACAUUGUAAAAGCAAAAUACAUCUGACUCUAACAUUAGCAUUUUUUCCUUGAGGAUGUAAAAUCUAGAAUUCUAACAUAAAAGAACCAUAGGGUGAAACGACACUUCCUGGGUCUCCUUUGUUGGCAGGCUAGGCCCUUUUUUCAUACUCUUAUGUUGGAAACAGCUUUGGGGUCUAGAAUGAACUAUCAGGAUUGAGGAUGAAGUCAUAACUUUUGCUAGUAGGUACCAUGAAAAAAAAGUAAGUAGACUGACUUCAUCAAUGACGUUUUCUCCAGGGGAUUGCCUUUGUAAGAGGCCUUGUUGCACUUUUUAAGCAGAAAGGUACAAUUCACUGAAGUAUGAAUGUUCAGGAAGGCUAGCAAAGUGUAUUUUUAGAAUAAUAUUGUAUUUUCUAAUAUGUCAGGAGGUCUCUAGAUGUGAGAUAUAAAAAACCUAAUUUUUGUCAAAAUUAGACUAUCAUUACAUUAGUGUGUUCUUAAAGAAUGAAGGUGGACAUUACUCAUCUACAGUAGUAAAGGGGAAGAAUAUUUAAAAACCAGAUGACAGCUAUGUGCCUUGUAAUUUCAACAAUACUGAAUGAUGAACAAUCUUCCAAGUUCAUUUAAGCAGGAAUGGGAGAGAAUCCCUAUAAAAGUGAAUUUAAAAAGAUCUUGUACAAAUACAAAUCUUGUACAAAUAAAAAAAAGAUCUGUACAAAUAUGCCUCACCCUCCAUUUUAUUACCUUAUAAUGCAAAUAAUUACUUGCUCUUGCUACUAAGAGCCAUUUUAAUGUAAUGGAUUCAUUUCAGACCCUCAAGAAAACCAAAGCCUAUGUCCUUUUAUAAGUUUGGGAGGAACUUUCAAAUGGCUGUGCCCAAUUUGAAGACAUAGAUAUAUAUAUUUCCUGCUUAUUAAGUUACAAACUUAGAAUUUAUGCUGAUGAACAUUUUCCACCUUGACUAAUACCUCCUGCUAGAGAAGUUUUCUUUUCAAGAAAACAAAUAACAAGUGGACAGAAGGAAAUUCUAAGCCUGUGUGAUUUGAUAGUGGUCGCAUUUUACAUCCUGAAAUUUGGAGCUAUAAAUAGCCAUUUUAAAAUUUUGUGUCUCUUGGUUAAUAUCUUGUAUAGUUCCUUGCACAUAAUAGUUGUUCAAUAAGUUUGCUGAAGAAAUGAAUUUGUGAAACAUUUUUACUAUUUACCUUGUAAUCUUCUCUGAUGUGCAAAAAUGAAAAGAAAAAGGGGGUAUUAACAUUUGUCUCUUUUUAUGUGAACAAAAUAUUGUUAAAAUUCUAGGUGAGUUUGACUCAAAAUGCCAGAAAAGAAGCCCCAUUCUAUGCUAGUUAGUAAGGGAGGAAUCUCUGACAUUUCCCUGCCUAUUCAAAUGAAAACUGUUUGAGGUAAUACUGCAAUGUUUAAAACAAACAACCUCCCCCCCCAAGCACAGAAUGAACUUUACAAAUUAAUGACUUGAAAAAUCCUUAGAGUUAAUCUCUUUUUACAUUCCAGACUUCAAUUUUCUAUGGCACACUCACAUUUCAAGACCUUUAAAAAUGCUAAAGGGUAGCCAUCUUCCGAAGGGGUGAGGGGAACAGAAGGUCACAAAUCCUAUUGUUCUUUUUUUGGGGGGCGGGGUUGAGAACAGGCCAGUGUGGUCUCAUCUACUAGAAAAGAAUUUAAGAACUAGUGUCGAUUGUUAAUGAUGAUGCCACACAGGGCUGCUCUAUCUAGGGAAGGUGGUACAGAGGCCAAGAGGAAUCUGUUCUUCAAGAGCAAUGGCUGCUCUUACUGUGUUCCCAACUCUUAGCCCUUAGUGAGCACCCCUCACAUUUGAGUAGGGGGCUGCAGCUUUGGGGCACCAUGGAACCAAUGGAAUGGAGGUAGGGGGAAUCAAAAGAUUGGAAGUAGCUUCAGAGUUGGGCGGUCCUCUACCUUAUAUUGGUCCAAAAACAGCUGAUUUGGGGCCUGGCUCAAGAUCAUGUACAUGUUUUAAAAAAAGGCAGACUGGCAGAUCCUGUUCCAUUUUGAAUGUGAAGCCUUUCAUCAAUGAGUAUGAGGGUAUUACUUCCAGUGGAAAAUGUGUGCUUAUAUACCAAGGACGUCCUUGGCUUCACCUGGGCAGGCUCCCUAGGAGAUGAUUUGCCAUCUCCCUAGCAUUUUCUCAGGAAGAUGAGGAAAACUGGAAGGAGCCAAACAGCAAAAGACCCUACAUAAGAUAAAUCUCAAAUCUAAAUUCCAUUUAUGACUAAACAUCCUCUUUUAAAGCAGUCCCUUGGUGUGAAGAUAUGGGUAUUGUUUCCUGUAUAUCCAAAUAUACAUUUAUACUCUUAGCAUUGUAAUAGGUCAUCCUUCCACUUGUGUACCUAACAAGAAAUGGAUCCCUAAAAGGAAAUGUUCCUUACCAAUGUCUGGUACAAUGAUGACCUACCGUUUCCCCAAGAAUCCUCUUUUUUUAUUCACAAGUAGAUAAGAGUUGGUAUUUUGUCACCAGGUUCAUGCCAAUGUCAAUUCAUUAUAGUAAAGGAGUAUUUAUAACAUUAUACUUUUUAAAUAGAAACCAAAAGCAGAGGUUGAUAGAAAUAUCCUGCUAUCGAUACAUAUCCAGUUUAACCAUUAUAUGGAAGAACUGGGUGGUAUCACCCUAAGACAUAAAGGUUUUAUGAAAGAAAAAUAGAUGGCCUAUUCAUUGAUUUAUUUGUUCAGUCAGUAAACAUUCAUGAGUGCUUACACCAGGCAAAGUUCUAUGCAUGGAGAAAAAGAUAUGUCUCUGACCUCAAAGACGUGUUUGGAGAGACAGCCAUGAAAAUAGACGAGUACAGUUUGAUGCAAUGAGUAGAGUAAUGUGAGGUCUGUGCAAAAUGCAGUGGAAUUCUAAGGGAAGAAGCAUCUGUAUGUGGCAGAAGGAGAAAAGGUAACACUUGAAUUCACUCUUGAAGGAGAAAUAGAGGUCCAGGUGGAGGAAAAAGUGUGUGCAAAGGCCCUGAGGCAGUGAAAAGCAUAUUCUGUUCAGGAGAUCAUACCUAGAUUAUAUUGCCAGAAUAGGAAGUUUGAGGAGACCGAUGGGAGUACAACUGAAGGGGUGCUAUGGGCUAAGCACUUUGAAGAUCCUCAAAUGCCAGACUAAGAAGUGUAGAUUUAUCUUACAUCAGAUGGAAAGUCAUUGAAAAAAUUCAAACAUAAUCAGAUGUGUAUUUUAGAAAGACCACGCAGUCCAUGGACUGGAGCAUGGAUUAAAAGUGGGGGGCGAACUAGUGACAGUGAGCCUUACUGGUGGUUGUUUUUACCUCCCCUCCUUGGUAUAAGUGUGUUAAUGAGUGACACUUUAUUAAAUAGGUACAAAUUCUCAAACCCUAAGCAAAAAGGAAGGCAUAAAAAUAUUUUCCAAAGAGGCAUCUUUUUGAGGAAGAUAAUUAUGCACAUUGGUAAAGACCACAGAUUAAUUUCGUAUGCCCCAUGGAUAGCUUUUAGGGUCAAGAGGGCAUUGCUCAUUGUUUUAUUUUACUGUAUGAUUGACAUCCACCUGAAAUGACACUUCGGUUACUGCAUUCAAAGACUGUGUGGUGUUGUAGAAAGAGUGCUACCAAAAGUCAAGAGACGUGUCUCUAGUUGAGCUUUAUGUCUCUGUCUUUGAAAGACCUUAGGGAAGUCACUUUACCUCUCUGGGCUUUCUCUUCCUCAGUUGUUAAGUUGAGGGCACAGUGUAAGUUAUUUGUAACAUUACUUUAUUUAUAUUGUUGUAUGAUUUGUGAGUUUGCCCUUAUUAAUCUCUCCUAAUGUUUAUUUCUUACCUUGUCUUUAUGCUUUCUCACAAUUUUAAGAGAGACAGAAGUAUUUGGAGAAUAACGUGUCCCAGGACAUGUUAUUUAGGACAGAAUUCUGUCUUUAUUGCACUUAAUAUACUUAGCUUUCCUACUGGAAAUAUUAGGAUGUUGGUAGCUGUUUUGAAACUGUGGCGUUUCUGCUUGCCUGAGUCACAUUCUAUCCUCAUGAGCACAAAAGGAGGACUAUUUAAUCACUUUCAACAUCUACCAGUCUAAAUUAAUAACUUACCUCUACUUUUUAAGUUAUACAUUUUCCCUUCCAAAAGGAUUGUUUCUUAGGUCAGAUAAUUAUAUGUUCUCAGAAAGCUGGUGUAUGGAUAAAAUGGUGGCACUCAAAAUUAUAGAAAUUGUACUGCUUCUAAUAAUACUCUAUUUUAAAUUCUGCAUUUCCUUGGAAACUUCCUGUUAUUUAAUGCUCUUUUUUUUUUUUUCCUUCACUUAAGAGGCUGUUUACAUUAGUAAUAUAUCUCCUAGAGCUCUGGGAGUUCAGAGGGUUCGUACCUACAAAACAGCACAGCACUGUGACCGUGCUUUCAAAGACAUGCAGGGGUCCCAGGGCAAAUCAAAAUGUUUUUAAAUGUAUGACAUGUGUGAAGUUGAUGAAAAUUCAUGACUUCUCUCUGUCAGGGCUGCUUGAGCUUAAAUCAUCAGAGAAAGGUUCUGUUUCUGCAGGAUCGGGCAGAGACUGACCGAAUGGCUGCAGUUACCAGGAUUUGAAAACCCAAUAUCAGAAUCUGCCACUGUGUGUGUGUCUGCCCUGAGCGCUCUCUUCUUUAGCAACAGGACAUUUGCACAACACGGGAGCAUCUUUUCUUCUUCCCUUGGCCCUGACCUUGUAAAAUAUGAUACAAAGUUUUUCAUGGCUUUUAAGUCCCGCACAUGGGAAAUCUUGCUGGAGAUACACGAUGAUUAAAAUGCCUUCCUUAAAAGAUGUGCGUAAGUAGGUGUCAAGUGGACGAUUGUGGGCGGUCAAGACCAACCUCAUCGAGAGUCUCAAGGCUAAACACACUGAUUUUUGUUAAUCCCAGGAAAUUUUACCCAGUUUUCUAAAUGUGUUGAAUUUUGAGUUUAUGUCCACAAAGCUGAAGUCGGUUCUGUGAACCUCAAUUAAGGUCAACCAUAGCUCUUGAAUCCGCCCUAAAGAACUCUUUGGAAGAUUUGUAUGUUUACUUGUAGUUUUAUGGUUUUAUUAACACAAGUACGACAUGCAACUAAGCUGUCUAUUCGCCUUCUUUGCUGGCAUUGGGACUGGUGGCUCUGAUGGCCAGAGGGGCUGCUCUUUCUACCCUGGCUUUGGGGUUCUCAGAGGCGACAUGGUGAGCAGUCUCUGCAUGGUGAGAUUUGCGGCACAUCGGUGGCACCUCAAGCCCCUUGAUGCCAUGCACUAGGAACUUCCAGAAGCCCCUGGGCAGCAUGCGCUUUGUUUUCUUGCUGCUCCUGGAAGCUGCGUUUGGGCAUCAAGAUCUAGCCCAAGAAUCUUCCAUUGCACCCAUUGUCAGUGCCUCUGGGUUUCUGCCAUUUUGCACUUCACUUGACCUAUCGGUCUGAGCAGUGCUGGAUGCACUCCGUGGUCCUCUCUUUAAUAAUCUUGGCCUUCACUGAGGUCUGAGAGCAGCUGUGAUGCUGCCGAGGAGGAGAUGGCAGCCACCUCCAUGGGCAGUGCCAAGGGAGAGCUGGAGAAUUUUUAAAGUAAUGCUUACUCUGAGUCAAAAAUGAUCACUAAACCCCAACAUCUACACACCACAGGAACCCAAGAAAUAGUAGACUGACUGCAUGUGAAUGUUUUAAUUACAAAAUUAAUUAAAUAGCAUAUAAAGUGAAAAAAAUUGACUUUCUUUUCUCCUAGCCCCCACAAUCCCAUUAUCCAUGAGUAACCAUUAAAAAUAAUUUUUCAUAUGUAUUUUUUAAAGAUUGUAUUUAUUUAUUUGAGGGACAGAAAGAGCUAGAGAGAAAGAGAGAGAGAGUGAGCACAAGCAGGCGGAGAGUGAGAGGGAGGGUCAGAAGCAGCAGCAGCAGACUCCCCACUGAGCAGGGAGCCUAAUGCGGGGCCUGAUCCCAGGACCCUGAGAUCAGGACCUAAGCUGAAGGCAGACAUGCAACUGACUGAGCCACCCAGGCGUCCCAGUUUCAUAUAUAUUUUAAUAGACUUACAAUUUUUUCCUUUUCUUUUUUUAAAGUAAUCUUGAUACCUAACAGAGGAGCUUGAACUCACAACCCCGAGAUCAACAGUUGUAUGCUUUACCGACUGAGCUGCCAGGUGCCCUAAUGAGUAGACUUUUUUUUAGAUGUAUUUAUUUGUCAGAGAGAUAGAACACAAGCAGAGGAGCAACAGGCAGAGGGAGAAGUAGGUAGAGGGAGAAGCAAGCUUCCUGCUGAGUGGGGAGCCUGAUGUGGGGCUGGUUCCCAGGGCCCUGGGAUCAAGACCUGAACUGAAGGCAGCUGCUUAACCCACUGAGCCACCCAGGCAUCCCAUGAAUAGACUUUUAAAAUUCAUAGGCAAGCAUAUCUUAAGUCACAAAUAAAAUCAUACAAUGUAUUUACUAUACUGAAUUUGCUUGAAUUCACUUAGCCUUGUACGUUGGCUAUCAUUCCAUUCCCUACACAUGGGUCUACUUCAUUCUUCUAGCAGCUGCGCAGAUAGCAAAUAAUACGCUAUUAUGGAUAUAACAUUCCCAUAUUGAUGGAUACUUAAGUUAUUUUUUAGUCUUGUUUUUUCAAAUAAUACUUCAGCAAACAUAUGCAUAUUUUUGUGCACUUUUAUAAGUGUAUUUGUAGAAUUAAUUGCCCAAAGUAAAAUUGCUAUAUAAAAACACAUUUACAAGUUUUGAAUGAUAUUGCCACCUUAAUGACACAACCAAAUUGCAUCAAUUUACCUUUCGCUGAAAGUUUUUGAGAGGCAGGGAUUUUGAAAAAGGGCUUCACUGAGUUCUGUGUGUUACAUAUCUGCGUGCCAGUCCAUCUCUUCCAGUUUGCCGAAACAUAGUUGGGUUGCAGCUGGGAUGGUUGGUGGUGACCUAGUGGAGAGCGAGUGUUCCCGUGACAUCUGUGCUGGGACAGCAGGGAGGGCUGGGGAGGGGAAAGCACCGAGAUGCAGAGGAGAAGAGCCGGGAAGUAUGGCUGCCAUCGGUUUAGGAAUGGUCCAGUCUUCGCCAUGUCUCUUUGCUAGCCUGUUUUACCAUUCAGUGUCUCUGCGUGUGAAUAACCCAGAAAAUACACAUGACACCAUCCUAGUUCCUGGAUUUGAAGAGACAUCCUCAUCCUUGAAACCUCUACUCCUCAUUCAAUGUUUUCAUUUGGCCUGGCAUUUUAGAAGUCCUAUUUUCAUCCUUAAAUAGAAACUUAGAAGUGCCUCUUGAUCUAUACCCUAGAUCUCAGCCUUUUAAAUUGAGGGGUUACUUUAAUGUUCUCAAGGUUAUAGUUACACAGGAAUUUUAUUUUGUAUUCAGCAUGAACAUGCUAGGUACUAUGUAGGGGCUGUGGAUGCAAAGAUGAAUGAGAUAUAAUUCUGCAUUCUAGAAGCUCAUAAAAUAAUGACGAGACAGAUGGCACUAACUAAAAUACAGGCCCCUGAUUGGUUAAGUGUUAAAACAGAGGUAUUUGAUCAAAAUUCUAUGAUGUCCCACUUCUGGAAAUAUAGCCUACAGAUAGAUUUGUGCAUGCACAAAAGGACACAGAGACCAGAGGUGUUCCUCACAGUAUUGUUUGUGAUGGUAAGACUUAAAUAACAUUCUGAGUGUCUAUCAACAAGGACACUCUAUGUGGCUUAAUAAAUGCUCUCUAUGUACUGAUAUGGAGUAAUCUGCAGGAUAUGUUUUUAUAUGGAAAAAAGCAAGCUGUGGAACAUGUGUAGUAUAUGUUGCCUUCCACAUAAAAAAUAUAGAAAAAUAAGACUGUGUUAGUGUUUGCUGGUCUAUGCAUAAAACAUCGGAAGACUUCUUAAGAAACAACAAGUGCUAAUCUUUGGGGUGGGGGUGGGCGUCAGAGAUUAGUGGGGUGGAUGAGAAAAGAGGGUGAAACAGAUUCUCAAUGUAUACCUUUAUAUGUCAUUUUCAAUUUUGAACCAUGUGAAUGAAUUAUUUUUAAAUUAUAUUAAAUAGGGGCGUCUGGGUGGCUCAGUGGGUUAAGCCUCUGCUUUCGGCUCAGGUCAUGAUCUCGGAGUCCUGGGAUCGAACCCCACGUCAGGCUCUCUGCUCAGCAGGGAGUCUGCUUCCCCCCACCCCCCGCCCGCCUGCCUCUCUGCCUCCUUGUGAUCUCUCUCUCCCUGUCAAAUGAAUAAAUACAAAUCUUUAAAAAAUUAUAUUAAAUAAAUUUAAGUUAUAAAGUCCCUGCCUGCCCCCCCCCCCCACAGUGCUUUGCAUUCUCUGAGGUAUUUGCGCACGCUUAGCUACAUUUACACUGGAUCCAGAAUGUAACAUGGGACUGGGCAAGGAGACUCUGAACAGGAGAAAGAAGCCUUCUUAGAAACUACUGGAUUUUUCUUACCACAAUAUUACACCGUCUCUCAUGAAAACGAUUUGGAGCAGAGCUAGGAGAAAGAAUACCAUUCUCUAAAAAGUUCUCAGAGUUGGAAUAUAAACAGGACAUAUGCCAGACAUGGGAACAAUUUUAAAAGUAGAUUUCAUUCUUUAAACCUCCUCCAGAAAAGGCUGAGGGUGGCCUCCUCUGGUUUCUCAGGAGAGCUUUAUAGGAGAGGCAUGAUUUGCCCAUACCUUCGGUUGGUCUGCUUAAGUCAUGAAAUUGAGCAAUGUGAAUGUUUUCUUCUUUAAGCUUUAAAUAAAGGUCUUAAGCUGAGUUACAAUAAGAGAGACCAGCCGUCUUGCCAGAGAAAUGCUACUUUUCUUUGACGAGGACGUGGCUCUGUAAAUUCGCCAGAACACCACAUUCAGGUAAUUUGGAGAAAGACAGUGGGAUAGAAUUAGAUUUUGAGAAUUCUCUGGUCACUUUCUGUAAACUGAGACUAUGAGGUAGAGAAUAAAUAACUUGAGAGAAAAAUAAUUUCAUGAGUAUAAAAGACCAUGUCAGAAGUUUGUGGACGAGUGACACAAUCAUCACCCAAGCCACCCAGAGACAGAAAAGGCCACUGGUGCUGAGGAGGAACUUGACUUUCCUAUACCUUGUGGUAUACCUGAUUCUCCUCACCAUCACUACUACCACCGUUACUGCCCCUGCCUUUUCAGCUCAUUGCGGCCAUGUUUGUCCAUAAGACGACACCCAAGCGAUAAGCUCUGGUUCCCCAGGAAGCUGGUGGUUAACUGGGUGGAAACACAGAGGUGAGAGAGCAUUGAAGGCAGGUGACUCACCACCUUCCUUUCAUCAGUUUCUUUAAUUGCGUUCUCCUAUCCACCCCCACCCUGCCCAUAUUUACUCGCUCAGCUGGUUUCAAAUCAGUCCUGUGGGAAGGGUCUGAAAAAUUUAGAUUUAGAUUUCGAACACAAGAACGUGUUAAGGGAGCUACUGCCAGGAUCAGGGCCACUUGUGACGUCACAUCAGUAAAAGGCAUUCAAGUGAGAGACAAUAAUGAUGGUAGUUGUUUAGCCCAAAUGGACAUCAGUUGUAAUUCUUUCAAUGUAAUUCUUUGGGCAGCUAAAUGAAAUACGUUAUCAGUGGAAGUCUUGACCUAAGAGACAUACAUGUAAGAACAUGGGGAAGUUAAAUAAGACUUAUAUACCUUAACAAAAACAAUGGCUUUAUUUGUACUCUUUUUGCAGUUUUAACUAAAUAUUGCAGUGAGUAGUGCUUAUUUUAAACUACUAAGUAUUGGGGCAUUUAUUACCUAUGAUGUGAAAAUACUUCAGGGGUCUUGGAUUAACGCUAUAGUAUUUAGGCACAGAUUAUAGAGACUUACAAUCAAAGACGAUGGUGAGACACAUGACAAAUAUCUCCAUCUUAUAGGACUUAAUUCAGACUUGGUCAGAUCAGCCUACGUCUCACUCCUGGCUUCUCAGGAAUGUCCCCAAGCAAACAUUAUCUGCACUAGGUCCAAGGCUGCCCUGUGAAUUAACCUCCAGGGUAGGGUUAUCUCAGAAAAUACAGGAUGCCUAAUUACAUUUAAUCUCAGAUCCACAAAGAAUAGUUUAUAGUAGAAACAGGCAGACAUACGCCCAGCUCUUCUGCGCUCUGUCUCUGAGGCAAGGUGCCUCACGGGUUUGAAAUCCCCAAAUCCUGAAUUCCAAUCUAGCUUCAUAGUUUGAUUCUCUUAGUGGAUACUGUCUCACCAUCUAUUGUUUAGGCUUGCUUCCUCUUAAUAGGGCAUUUUACUCAUACUGUAUAUUUUCAAAUAAAUUUUUAAACAUUAGUAAUGAAAGGUUAGCUGCCUGGAAUAAUUAUAAUAGAAUUUUAGAGAAAAUUUGAAAAUCCACUUUAUUUCUUACCCCCCAACCCCACCCCACCAAUUUUGAUUUUUCAAAGCAUGUCCUUAGGAUUUGAUGUUAGAUUCAAAUGGUGAGACAGAUGUGGAAUAAGACAGGAGGGCUCCUUUCUGGCUGAGCUUGUACCCCUGGCUUGUUCUCUCGGGGUUGUGGUAAAGGUAGCUACUCAAAGGUUUAAUUUGAAAUUUUCUAAGUCAAGCCAAAUGCCACCAUUACUAAAAUCCAGCAACUAAGGAAAUGGAAGAGCCAUGUGGGAGAAUAAAGAAUAAAAAAUGUGGAGCUGGAAGAUCUGGGAUUGAGGCCUGGCUCUGUACCUGACUUAGCUGUGAGAUCCUAGGAAAGUCAUUCAGCCUCCAGAAGUAUCAGUAUUGGUCUCAAUAAAAUCGAGAUCAUAGGGCAACUAUGACGAGAGAUACUGUGUGUAGGAACGAUUUGGAAACUUGAGUUCAAUCUAGAUGUUUGCAGGGGUGAUGACAAUGAUGGUAAAAAUGGUGGCCAAGGGGCACCUGGGUGGCUCUGUUGGUUAAGCAUCAGACUCUCGGUUUUGGCUCAGGUCAUGAUCUCAGGGUCAUAAAAUCGCGCUCCAUGUUGGGCUCUACACUGAGCAUCGAGGCUGUCUAGGAUUUUCUCUCUCUCCCUCUCCCUCUGCCCUUCCCCCAUAUUACACUCAUGCUAUCAUCCUCUAAAUAAAUAAAUAAAUAAAUAAAAUGGUCGCCAACAGGUAGAAAGGCAUUACAGAAAGUCAGUUAUUAAAGAGAUACUUUAAUUCAGAUCCUAAAAAUGUUUACUUCCUACUCCAUUCACAAGAAAUUAUAUACGUAAGAGUAUUGUUCUCUUGGGUUGGAAAAAAGAAAAGACACGAAAAGCUAAUCCAAUUCCAUAUAUUUUUAGAAGAAAGCUUACUCAAAGAUUUGAGUCUAAAAAUGGAUGUUUAGAGUAGAAUAUUUUAUUUAAGAUCACACUGAAAAAUGAGUAAUAGAAAGGCACACUGAGAAACAUUGGUUUAGAGCCUUUUAGUUCUAUUUCGGGUCAAUGCUCAUUCAACGACCAGCCUAUUUAGUUUGUAAAAGCCUCAGACACAUUUGUUAUUAUUACUAUUAUUAUUAUUAUUAUUAUUACUUAACAUAAUAGCUAGGAGUGUUCAAUGCACAGAGGAGGCUCUCAUGAGGCCCCAAGUCCAUUUGCUCAGUGAUAAAGGAGAGGAAGCAAAAGAAGAAGAUCUUCCCAGAGGUCCUCUGACUCCCUUUUAGACCUUCCAUCCUCUGCUCCAAGAGAGGGGUGGAGGCCACAGGAGGACAGAGCUAUCAGGGCACAGGAUGUCAAUUCUGACUGAAGAGUAUCCAUCCUUGUUCCAUUUUACCUCCCUUUUAACCGCACAACCAAUACAUGUGUGUCACAGAAAAUAAGAGAAUGUGGAUAAGCAAAAAGGUGACCAUAACCAUCACCCCUAAGUCUAGCCUCCAGAAAUUUGGAAUACUCCUUUGCAUUGCUCUGUGUCCCCCUAUAUGCAAGGAGUACCAUGAGGGAUCAAAAUUUAUCCUACUUUGUCUGAACCCCACAAAGAAGCCCUUGAUGUGUUCUGCAUGGCUGGAUUCCUUAACAAAUGCAUUUCAGCCAAGGCUUUAAAGUGGCAUAGCAGGGAUGCCUGGGAGGCUCAGCCUGUUAAAUGUCCAGCUCUUGGUUUCAGCUCAGGUCAUGAUGUCCCCAUCAGGAGAUCAAGCCCAGUGUUGAGCCCUCAGAGGAGCCCCCCCAACACUCCCCACUCUGUCGAGCCCACAUGGAACCCCGCGCUCAACAGGGAGUCUGCUCCAUGCCCUCCUGCUCAUGCACUCUCUCUCUGAAAUAAAUUAAAAAAAAACAUGGUAUAGCAUAAUCCCACUCAUAUUCCUAUAAUGACGGGGCCAGAUAGAAAUUAAGUCACUCGAUUUUAAAAUCGCACUUCUCAUACUUUCUUUACUUCCCUUUAUAGAACUCCCUAAAGCUCUUAACAAAAUACAGAACUUUCCCACAGAGACUCAGAAUAUAAGUUAGUGGCAAAAGUCUUUGAGAUCAAGAGUUCACCAGGUCCUGAGCUCCAUUUCUUACAGGGUCUCACAUUGUUUUUCUGUCACUUAUUUCUACACUUGGUCCUGAGUCUAAAUGAGAUGGAAUCCCAGCUCCAGACUACAAAUGUCCCCCCAGUUAGAAGUCGGAAUCAUCUGACCUUGCCUGAGAGAAUGAGAGGAGGAAGGUCAAGUGGGACGAGCCCAGCUCAGUUACAAACCUCACUGCUGGAACGGAGUAGUUGCUCAAGUACCCCAGGGUCAGUCCCAUUGGCCCCAGGCCCAGAUUUUCAUGGACUCAUUCUGGGUCCUAGAAGAGAGAGAGGACCGUGACUAGAAACCAGAAGACCAACUUUACCAAAACCUCCAAAGACUUCGGAGAGCUUGCCAAUCCUGCUUUGGUAACAUCUGAUGCAGAGAGAAAAUGGAGAGGUAUCCUCGCCCACAGUGCCACAGAUCCCGGAGCAGCUGUGGCCCAUUUGGUGCUCUGGGGUUUUGUUGCGAGCACCCAGCACUAUCUGCAGGGGUGGUGUCCAGGAGAGGGGUGGGUGCCUUGGGGACUGUGCGGAAGGCAGUGUUUCGCAGAGCGGGGCAGGCGUGGUGGAGCCCCGCAGUGGAGCGGGAGCCGGAGGCAGCAGGAUUUGACUUUAUAUAGAGUAGAGACGGUUGUACCUGCAGAACGCAGUGCUACCCCACAGGGCAUAAAAGCCUAAAACAUGGCAUUUUCCACAAGAAUUAUAACCAAGCGCACACGAGACACAAUAUGUGUGUGUAUGUGUACGUGUGAGUGUGUGGCAAACUCUAGAACAGACUUCAUGUCAGCCAUCACACCUAGUUCCUCUUCCCUAAAACCAGUCCCAGAAGUUCUUAUUAAAGUGAUAUAAUGAGGGGCGCAUAGGUGGCUCAGUCGGUAAGCAUCUGCCUUCCACUUGGGUCCUGGGAUCAAGUCCCACAUCGGGUUCCUUGCUUGGCAGGAAGCCUGCUUCUCCCUCUCCUACUCCCCCUGCUUGUGUUCUCUCUCACUGUGUCUCUCGAUCAAAUUAAAAAAUUCUUAAAAAAAUAAAAAAGAUAAAGUGAUGGUCUCUUCUGAUAUUUGACUAAGCUACUCAUAGACCCAAAUCCUUCCUCAAAGCCUAUAAUACCUGGAUUGGAUUCAGGAACCACCCCUUCCCAUUCCAGAAUUUCCGGGCUAAUAGUACUACUUAUCUUGUAUGGCUGUUAGGGGCAUUAAACAAUAUAAGACUUGAAAAGGGCUUGUAACAGUCCUGGGUACAUAGUCAGCCUUCCUCAGUAUCAACUCUAGUAUGACUGCUAUCUAAAUUUGUCUCCCAGUCAGGCCCCAUUCGCUGCUACCUUGUGGGCGGUGCAAGAGACUUAGGCUGAAAUUGUGAUUCAUCACUUACCAGCUAUAUGUCCUUGGACAGAUUAAUUAACUUCUUGGUAAUGUGAACUAGUGGAGCACAUUGGAUGCCAGACUUCGUCCCAGGGGCCACAGGCCCACGGAUGAGCAGCUUGAACACCACCCCAAACACCACCCUGCCUGGAAAACACUCCGUGCUGGUGGGUGGGAGACAGACGGCGAAAUAAGCAAAACAAACAAACAAACAAACCAGAGUCGUAAGGAUAGCCCGCCUCUCCAGCUGGAAUUAGACCAAUAGGUAACAGAGCGACCAACAAAUCAAUCAAGUAGAGAACCAUUAAAAAAAAAAUGUCAUCUACAUGUUUUAAAUGUUUUAUUUCAAUAGAAACAGAUUAGAAGUUGCCAGGGAAUAGACGAGGGGAGGGAAAGGAAUGAUUACUUAAAGGGUACAGGGUAUUCUAGGGUGAUGAGGUUUGAGACUAGAGAAAUGCGGUGGUUGUACAACACCAUGAAUGCACUAAACGCCACUGAGCUGUACACUUUAAAGAUGGUUAAUUGUAUGUUAUGUAAAAUUGUCCUCAAUAAAACAUUAUAUAAAUGGACAUUAUUUUACCACUAUUUUGGUGUAUAGCUAAGGACUCUUUAAGGAUGUGCCCAUAACUGAAGCCCCAAGGCAUCUUUCUGGCAUAAACCACACCCCCCCUCAAAUAUAUAUAUAUUUUUUCAGCCUAAAUUUCUUUAACUUAGGACAAGAACUUAGGUACCUACAAAUCUAUCUUAGAGUAGAAUCUGCUUAGAUUUGUGUUUUUUUUUUUUUUCCCAUUUAUAGCUUUUCCAUCCAUACAUAACAUGACAACAGUUUUUUAGCAGCUCACACUUAGGAGCCUACAUUAUUUUUUUUAAAUAAUGGCAACAACAUCUAUUUAGUGAGUGCUUACUCACUUCCUUACAUUUAAUCAUGGGCCCUUCCAUUCUGGGCCAUGACAAGACACAUGCCAGAACCGACUCCUGGAAAGAUCUGAGGACACAUGGGUUAUCACUGCAUCAAAACUAAUAACCCCUGUGGACCCAGACAAGCCUGUGGGAGAGGGAGAGGUAGAAAAACCUACCUGUCUCACUGUCUCACUGCUUCUGUGCCAAGUCCAGGAAUGGUGUUUUUGUCCUGUGACAUCUGAGAACAAGAAACAAAGGAGGAGGUCAUCAGAAGUCAAGGUAUGGUCUUAGGAGCAGUCAUUUCAAUAAAGGCACUGGCUUCAUUCUUGGAAAGAUUGACAGUCCGCGGGGUGCCUAGUCCCUUUGACUAAUAUUCUUGUUCUUGAGUCUGAUCUGUAGCUGUUUUGUUGUGUUUCAGCUCUGAGGGUAGUAGAAAUAAAUUAAAAUUUUAAAUAGCCCGCCCUCCCCUAAAAUGGCUUCAAUUCUAAUAUGAAAAUAAGUGUUUUGAUGAUCUGGUCAUCCACACUAGCUCUCACACCACUGACUGAGAGUUAACUGUCAUCAAAUAUCCAUCCGCCCAGGAGGAGUAACAGGUUAUGGCAGGUGAGUAAUUUGUUUGGUGAAUAAUACUAAAGCAAUUUAUUUUACAGUUUACUCUCUUGUGUCAGAGGAAUCAGCUAGUAGAGGAAGGACUAUGGACUAGUUCUUUAAACAUUUUUGUCUGUGGGGUGCCUGGGUGGCUCAGUAGGUUAAGGGACUGACUCUUGGUUUCGGCUGGAGUUAGGAUCUCAGGGUCGUGCGCUGGAGCCCUGUGUUGGGCUCUAGGCUGAGCGUGGAGUCUGCUUGGGAUUCUUUCCCUCCCCCUCUCCUUCUGCUUCUCCCUGUGCCUACACUCACUCACUCUCUCUUUCUCUCUCAAAUAAAUAAAUGAAGUCUUUAAAAUAUUUUUGUUUGUAAGUCUUCUGUCCCAUCCAUGUUAAGUUUAAACGUUUUUCAAAUUUAAUUUAUUAAUUAUAUUUCUUGUGCAUGAAUUACACGGUUAUGUCCUUUAGCCAUCUACCCACUGAGAUGUUGGUAAUAUUCAUAAAUACGUCUGAAUAAAUUUUCAUAUGUUUACAGAUGGUAACUAUGUUCCAUUUUGUGGUGAAUAGUCUUCCUUUUUUUUUAUCAUUAGUCAUUUUUAUUGUUUAGAAGUUAAAAAUCUUUUGUAACUGUGUCUGACCAUUUCAUUUCACUUCUAAUUUCUUCUCUUGCUCCAAUGAUAAGAAAAUUAUCACCUAAAGUGGGAUUAAAACCCCUAAUUUUCCCUUAGGAUUCCAUUCCCAACCAUCCUUCAGAUCUUACACUGACAUUCUCUGGGCCUUAGAGCCCAGGCCCCCUAACCCUUCAGUACAUUUUUUUCACAAAGGUUGAGCACUCGUGUUAGGACUUCAACAGAGCAGGUACCUGCAGAGUCCAUUGUUUACCUGUUUAGCCUGGAUUUAGAACUAUUUCUUAUGUUUGCUGAUAUCUGAGAGGGUCACGGCUUACUCCGUUCAGACCUAAGUUGGUGUCCGCAUUCACCCAUUCACCCACUCACUUAUUUACUCAUUCAUACAUGUAUGCAUUCAGACAUUUGUUGUAUGUAGCAACAGACUCACAUGUAGCCCCCAGUGAGCCCUGCUUUCUGGUGUUCACCCGUGAGGGUGGGCAGGACCUAUAUGUAUGACUUGCCUCUAAUAGCAGAAUAUAGUAGAGGUGACGCAGUGUCCCUCCUGUGAUUGUGUUACAUAACAAAGACUGUGUUGCUGGAACAUUCGACCUCGAGACGGACUUUGCAGCUUGAUGAAGUAAAGCAGCCGUGCUGGAGAAGCCCACGUGGUGAGGGGCUUUGGGCAACCUCCAGCCAACAGCCAGGAAGAAGCUGGAAUCCUUGGUCUUAGAGCAGCAAGGAAGUGAAUUCUGCCAAGAACGUGAGUGAGCGUGGAAGAGGUUGCUUCCCCGUUUGAGCCUCCAGGAGGGAGCACAGUCCAGAUGACACCUUGAUUGCAGUUUUGUAACACUAGAGAGCAAGAGCAAGAGUGUACAAACAAGGAGAGCAGCAGAGGGAGAGCGAGAAGCAGACUCCCCGCUGAGGAGGGAACCCAAUGUGGGACUCAAUCCCAGGACCCUGGGACCAUGACCUGAGCCACAGGCAGAUGCUUAGCCAUCUGAGCCACCUAGGGGCUCCGUCCUGAAGUGUUCCAAAGAAGAAGAAUGUAGCGGACUAAGGGUAAAAUUUAAUUCACAUCUUUGUGGGCUAUAUGCAAGUGUCAUAUAUAUAACUACGUGAAUAAAGGCAAUGGUAUGUUAA